GACGAACGCUGGCGGCGUGCUUAACACAUGCAAGUCGAGCGGUAAGGCCCUUUCGGAGGUACACGAGCGGCGAACGGGUGAGUAACACGUGGGUGACCUGCCCUUAGCUCUGGGAUAAGCCUGGGAAACUGGGUCUAAUACCGGAUAUGACUCCAUAACGCAUGUUGUGGGGUGGAAAGCCUUGUGCGGCUAGGGAUGGGCCCGCGGCCUAUCAGCUUGUUGGUGGGGUGAUGGCCUACCAAGGCGACGACGGGUAGCCGGCCUGAGAGGGCGACCGGCCACACUGGGACUGAGACACGGCCCAGACUCCUACGGGAGGGCAGCAGUGGGGAAUCUUGCGCAAUGGGCGAAAGCCUGACGCAGCGACGCCGCGUGGGGAUGACGGCCUCGGUGUAA
rnacentral:rRNA from 1 species